GGCGAAGUAGCUCAGUUGGGACUAGACGUUAGACUAUAGAUCGAAAGGUCCCUGGUUCGAUCCCAGGUUACGGCA
rnacentral:tRNA from 1 species